GUCGAACGAUGAACCUCUUUCGGGAGGGGAUUAGUGGCGAACGGGUGAGUAACACGUGGGCAAUCUGCCCUGCACUCUGGGACAAGCCCUGGAAACGGGGUCUAAUACCGGAUAUGACCACCGGCCGCAUGGUCUGGUGGUGGAAAGCUCCGGCGGUGCAGGAUGAGCCCGCGGCCUAUCAGCUUGUUGGUGGGGUGAUGGCCUACCAAGGCGACGACGGGUAGCCGGCCUGAGAGGGCGACCGGCCACACUGGGACUGAGACACGGCCCAGACUCCUACGGGAGGCAGCAGUGGGGAAUAUUGCACAAUGGGCGCAAGCCUGAUGCAGCGACGCCGCGUGAGGGAUGACGGCCUUCGGGUUGUAAACCUCUUUCAGCAGGGAAGAAGCGCAAGUGACGGUACCUGCAGAAGAAGCACCGGCUAACUACGUGCCAGCAGCCGCGGUAAUACGUAGGGUGCGAGCGUUGUCCGGAAUUAUUGGGCGUAAAGAGCUCGUAGGCGGCUUGUCGCGUCGGAUGUGAAAGCCCGGGGCUUAACCCCGGGUCUGCAUUCGAUACGGGCAGGCUGGAGUUCGGCAGGGGAGAUUGGAAUUCCUGGUGUAGCGGUGAAAUGCGCAGAUAUCAGGAGGAACACCGGUGGCGAAGGCGGAUCUCUGGGCCGAUACUGACGCUGAGGAGCGAAAGCGUGGGGAGCGAACAGGAUUAGAUACCCUGGUAGUCCACGCCGUAAACGUUGGGCACUAGGUGUGGGCGACAUUCCACGUCGUCCGUGCCGCAGCUAACG
rnacentral:rRNA from 1 species